ensembl:snRNA U6 U6 spliceosomal RNA
GUACUCAUUUAGACAGUGCAUAUAUUAAAGUUGGAAUGAUAUAGAAAAGAUUAGCAUGGCACUUUCAUAAAUAUGACAUGAAAAUUCAUGAAGAUUUCCAUGUAUUU